AGCGGCGGACGGGUGAGUAACGCGUGGGUAACCUGCCCUAUACACACGGAUAACAUACCGAAAGGUAUGCUAAUACGAGAUAAUAUAAGAGAUUCGCAUGGAUUUCUCAUCAAAGCUGAGGCGGUAUAGGAUGGACCCACGUCUGAUUAGCUAGUUGGUAAGGUAACGGCUUACCAAGGCGACGAUCAGUAGCCGACCUGAGAGGGUGAUCGGCCACAUUGGAACUGAGACACGGUCCAAACUCCUACGGGAGGCAGCAGUGGGGAAUAUUGCACAAUGGGCGAAAGCCUGAUGCAGCAACGCCGCGUGAGUGAUGAAGGCCUUCGGGUCGUAAAACUCUGUCCUCAAGGAAGAUAAUGACGGUACUUGAGGAGGAAGCCCCGGCUAACUACGUGCCAGCAGCCGCGGUAAUACGUAGGGGGCUAGCGUUAUCCGGAUUUACUGGGCGUAAAGGGUGCGUAGGUGGUCUCUUAAGUCAGGAGUGAAAGGCUACGGCUUAACCGUAGUAAGCUCUUGAAACUGGGAGACUUGAGUGCAGGAGAGGAAAGUGGAAUUCCUAGUGUAGCGGUGAAAUGCGUAGAUAUUAGGAGGAACACCAGUAGCGAAGGCGGCUUUCUGGACUGUAACUGACACUGAGGCACGAAAGCGUGGGGAGCAAACAGGAUUAGAUACCCUGGUAGUCCACGCCGUAAACGAUGAGUACUAGGUGU
rnacentral:rRNA from 1 species